rnacentral:tRNA from 1 species
UCGUGGCCUCGGUCACGAUCUCGGUCGUCGCCUCCUCCGGCGCGGUGGCUUCCUGUGUUUCCUGCGGGGCAUCCCCGGUUUCAUCCGGCGCCACGGCC